AACGAACGCUGGCGGCAUGCCUAACACAUGCCAGUCGAACGAGACCUUCGGGUCUAUUUGCGCACGGGUGCGUAACGCGUGGGAACCUGCCCUUAGGUUCGGAAUAACUCCCCGAAUGGGGUGCUAAUACCGGAUAAUUUCUUCGGACCAAAGAUUUAUCGCCUUUGGAUGGGCCCGCGUUGGAUUAGCUAGUUGGUAGGGUAAAAGCCUACCAAGGCGACGAUCCAUAGCUGGUCUGAGAGGAUGAUCAGCCACACUGGGACUGAGACACGGCCCAGACUACUACGGGAGGCAGCAGUGGGGAAUAUUGGACAAUGGGCGAAAGCCUGAUCCAGCAAUGCCGCGUGAGUGAUGAAGGCCUUAGGGUUGUAAAGCUAUUUUACCCGGGAUGAUAAUGACAGUACCGGGAGAAUAAGCACCGGCUAACUCCGUG
rnacentral:rRNA from 1 species